rnacentral:lncRNA from 1 species
ACAGUAUGUGUACUGUAGGGAUAGUAUGCUUCAACACAUUUAACUCUAUAGUUGAAGCUAUAUAUAUAUAUAUAUAUCUGUCUUUAUUAUAUAUACAGAUAUAUAAUAAAGUUAAAAUGCUAUCUGGAUUUUCUUUCUUUCUGGUCUGAGAGACUCUUCUGUUAGGGGCUCUGAAAUUAAUAAAUGCUUCCUGCCAGUUUGCUGCUUUUUCCAUUUAUAGAACAAUGCCAUUGCUUACACCCCCCUGGCUCUGUGUGAAGAAACUAUAAUGAGGGAGGGAUGUUUUCGUUUAGUAAACAAAGCACGAAAAACAGCAUGGCAACUACAUCUCUUGGAAUCACCUCUGCAUUUAAAGACCUACCCAAUGAGCUUCCACAGAAAACUUCUAAUCAAGGAAGAACACCCUCCAACCUUAGAAAGCCCCAGGCGAGUUUUUCACUGGCAUCAUUCCUAGAAGGUCCAUUUUUACUUUGCUCCAACAAAUGCCUCUCCUCUCAGGAGGUCCUGCCUCCUCUUCUCCUCUGUGUGUGUUCUCCUUCCCCUUGGUUGUAGACAGUUUGGCACAGCCUCGCCCUGCCCCCACCUCCUCCAUCCAUUCACUUUAGAAUCUCAACACUUAAAAACAAACAAGAGCCACUUCCUCUAGAAAAGACUCUGAGUUUUAAUCCCUUCCAGAUGGAAGAAACUGACAUCCGAUGUCAACUAGAGUCACUGGAUUCAAAGAGGCUGGGGACGGUAUUCAAUUUCUACAGGUUCCCUCGAGUUUUAAUUUUUAACACCAUUUGUGGGAAAGUGAAGAGCCUACACUUUUGGCCAGGAUCACUCUUUAGCAACUGAAUGGGUAAAGAAUGCCAAUUAGCCCAUCUCAAAUUCGCUUUCCUUCCCUGUAAAACUGAUGGUGAAAAUCUCUCCCUUUUAGAGGUAUAGGAAGAGUUCAGUAAUCUGUGGAAAAUACUUAAGAUGAUGCCUAGUACACAGAAGUCCUCGGUAAACAAUGGCUAUAAUUAUUAUUCUCAUCUUUGAAUGUUUAUGAUCAGAACCACAAUGAGUAAAUACGAACUGAGUAAUCUUAGAAUGAGAAACAUCUACUACUGGUUUCAAUCCAACUGAACAUUCUAAGGUUAGGAAAGAAAGGGCUGCCCAAUGACCUCUUUCCUAAGUAAGGAUGACCAUGCACUCAUUUAUCUAUUCAUCUUUCCAUGAAACAUGUAUUUGGUACAUGCUUUGUGCUGGACAUUGAGGCGCCUAAGUUAUGUGUCACCUCAAGCUGAAGAGACUAACAUAUCCAGCACAAUCGCCUUGAUAUGAAAUGGCUGCUAUGGUUGCUGGGCUUAGAACUCAGGCUGAUACAGGAGCAGAAAGGGAGCCAGAGAAAUUCAUUAUAAUCCACCCAUUCUCUAUACUCAUACAACAGUGAGAGUACCCUGUGCAAUUCUAACCAUCACAUUAUCCACAGUACGUGCUCAGAAAAAGAAAGAAAGAGCAAGUGAAUUUUCCACCGAUAGAUGAUGGGCAAUUCUGCACGUCCACCCAAAGAGAGAGCAGGUAGCUCAUUUCAGUUCCCAGGCGGGUCUCCCAGGCUCUAUCAUGAUCAGGGUGCCAGCAGAAAAUUACAAAAUGGUAUAGAUGGGCUAAUAAAGAGGUAGUUUAGCUUAAAAGAAAGUUAUGGGCAGGGUUAAAGGAAACUAAAAGAGAGAGUGAAGGUUCCAGACUAGCAGACGAUGGUGACCAUUAGCAACUCCACAUCUCAGGAUUACGUAGAGAGGGCAGUUUCCAGAGAUUAAAGGGGACAGGUGUCAAGGAAAGGGCUGCCUGAUGAGCUGUGACCAAAAUAGCAGGGAGGGAACAGAGAAAUAAGUACUGUGACCUCACUCUCCUCCCUUCUAACUGCUUCCUUCUAGGGCCGCCCAUUGAACCAGCCAAUGGCCAUGGAGCCUGUGACACAGGCCAUGUAAGUCAGCCUCCUGGGGCACGUGACAGGCUGGGAAUGGAUGGAGAAUGAAUCUGGAGGACAAACAGAAAUGUCCUGCGUACAGGCUGGGUAUCUCACCAUGCAGAAUAUAAUUCUUUACAUAUAAACACGUGUUUUUUUUUUUUUUAAUGCAACUGGAGUCACCCAAGGAUAUUCUGGACUUUAUGCGUUUUUCCUUACAUAUUAGCAACACAACACCAACCGUAUGAGAUGACACUUGACUGAACUUUAUCUCAUUUAGUCCUCACAGCAAGUUGAGUGAGUUAUGCCUGUUCUUCCAAUUUUACAGAUGAAAAGCAGACUCAGAAAAGUUGAAUGUCUCACUAAGCGGCAGGGGAAGAACUCAUGCUUCUCCCACCCGACAACUCUUAAAUGGUUUUUCCAUUCUACCAAGUUGAAAAGUUACUACAGAGAUUGAUUGGCAAAAGUCAAUGUUAGAGAGACUUGGUUUGCAGCCCUGCAAUUAUCAAAGAUGGGAAAACUUGGAAGAAAUACCCGGCACUGAAUCUCCAGCAAUGAAUCAAGUCUACUGUUGAAGCAACAACAUGUGCCUACCUUUAAGUCAUUUCUUUUUCUUUUUUUCCCCCAUUUCGUGGCCACCCUUGCAGCAUGUGGAUGUUCCUGGGCCAAGGACUGAAUCCGAGCCACAGCUUCAGCAAUGCCAGAUCCUUAAGCCACUGUGGCAGGCUGGGGAUUGAACCUGAGUCUCCUCUGCAACCCGAGCUGCUGCAGUAGGAUCCUUAACCCACUUCGCCCGCAGCAGGAACUCCUCAAGUCAUUUCUGAAUAAUCAACCAAGGCUAGAAAUCUGUAGAUGACAAUCUAGGGCUGAUGACUUCUGACAAGCACAGCUGGCCUGCCACCCGUGCUGCAUGUUAACGAAGCUCUAAUAUCAUCGCCACAUACUGUGUAGGAGGGGAAGUGUGGCAUUGCCGAGAAGCAGGAAAGAAGAAUGUGAUUUCCAAAAUCAGACCCAAGGACUUGGUAGAAACCAGGAGAUGAACACUUUUUUCAUGCUCACUAAAAGUCUAUCAAAAACCUAUGCAUAUUGUUCAUGCACCAUUAUUUAGUGACAUUCAUUACUUGCUACAGCCUUGGAUUGAAGCUGCAGGCUGAAAAAUAGUUACAUGUGGGCUCAUGCGCUCUGGAGCUGGAAACCCGGGCUCAGGCCCCACCACGAUUUCUGGCUAUGUGAGUGAGAAUAAACAAAUUAGUUUACCAAUCUAGCCUCAAUUUCCUUACCUGCGAAGGUGAGAAUAACAGGUUAUUUCAUUAGUACAGAACGAGGCUUUAAUAAGAAAACACAUUCAGAGUGUCCGGUAUAUAACAAGCAUCAACAGUGUCCUGUGUGUGCUCCUUUCAUCAUUAUCAUCAGCAUCUUCAAGCCUUUGACACCAUCUCUUCAACUCCUCUCACCAUCUUUUUAAGAAUAUUUGCAUAGGCGUUCCUGUCGUGGCUCGGCAGCUAAUGAACCCAACGAGUAUCCAUGAGGAUGCGGGUUCAAUCCCUGGUUUUCAAGGCCACGAUGGGGACUCCCAACUACUCAUUUUUUAAUGAUAUAUUUUUUUAAGUAUCCAAAACUUACAAAGUCAUAGUAUAUGUUGAGAUGCAUGGGAAACAUGGCCAGUGAAACAAAGGAAAUACAUUAAAAAUAGGUUAAAAAAUAGGUAAUAAACAAAACAGAUCAACUAGGUAAACUGAACUAAAAAAUUUCAAAUGCCCCAAAGUUUGUUCCACGUCUGUUCUAGCAACAAAAAGUAGGGGCCAAGAUUUGCAAGGCAGCAUUUAGGUCAUGCAAGGUUAAGUACUUAUUAAAUUACCUCUCCUAGUGCUAACUUUACAAGCAGUUUGAAAACAUGCAUUGACUUGGAAUUGAGACACUGAACACUAGUUGAGUAGAAAGCCAACUGCACACAGAAAAGUACAGCAAUAUUGAUCAGCUUGUCCAGGGAUCAAAAAAUUUAUUCAUCCUUUCCAGCAAAUAUUUACAAUUUACAAUUGGCCAGGCUCCUGGGAAACCAUAAGAAAGACAAAGAAAGAUAAAGCAGUUCCUCCCUUUAGGUUUUUCAGUUUAACGCCAUAAACAUACAAAAUCUGAAUACAGCUCUUUCAUAAGGCAAACACAGUAGCAGUAUCUAGCUCAGUCCUAGGGGAUAUGAAGGAUUCUCUGAAAAGGCUAAAUUGAUCUGAAGCCAGGCAGAGUCAAAGUGAGCAAGAGAAAGGGCUGAGCGUGGCAGGAAGAGACUUCUAGACAGAGGGAGCGGCAUAUGCAAAAAGCACAUCGGAUCACCACCUUACCACUCCCUACUCUCCCAUGGCCUCGCAUCACAACUAAGAUAAAAAUUUCAAUAUCAUGGCAGUAAAGGCCCUAUAUGAUUUGAUCCCCAUUCAUCUCCUACUACUCCCCCUUUACUUCCUGCCCUCUGGACACUCUGGCCUCUUUACUGUCCUAAAAUAUACCCAGCACAUUCCUACCUCAAGCCUUUAUCCUUGCUUGUGGCCUCUGCCUGGGAUGCUGUUCCAGCAGAUACACAAGUCUCCUUUAUUCAAAUGCUACCUCUUCAGAGACAUCUCCCCUGUACUCACCUCUAAAACAGCUUGCCACCUUCAAUAAGUCUAUUUUUCUUUCCAUCAGUGAAAAAUCACCUGUACCAAACAUAGUCCUCUUCACAUGUUAUCCCUUUAAUGUCUGCCUCUUCAAUUAGAACGCGAGCCCUAUGAGGGCAGAGGCUUUCUCUGCCUUUGGUUCAAGGCACACUUCCAGUGCCUAUAAUUGUGCCUGGCAAGUGGUGAGGGCUCAGUAAGUAUUUUUGGAUAAUUAAUAAAUUAAUAAAUGUCCUGAAGGCAAAGAGGAGACUUGGAAGAUCCAGAGACACGCAGUUUAGCAUGAAGAGUGCACAGGAUGUAGGGGGAGAAGCAACAGAAGGUGGGGCUGGAGUAAGUGUUUGCUAGCAAGUCUGACCAACUUUCUUCAACUUUUCUUAUCAUAGCCAUCCCAUCAGUGAGAACAGUUCUCCAUCAGACAUUUCAAUUAUUGCUAAUCCCUGUCCCAGAACAUGGUUACUCAGAUCCCAAGAGAUCAUCUGUAGCUAGAGAGGAGUGUUACAGGAUCCCCUGGCUUCUUUCCAUGGGAAUGACAUGUAUGUGGAAGUUCUCAGGCCAUGGAUCGAACCUGUGCCACAGCAGUGACCUGAGCCAUUGCAGUGACAACAUCAGAUCGUUACUCCGUUGUGCAGGAGAACUCCCUUUUUUUGACAACACAGAAUGUUAUAGUCCGAAGCGACUGUUAGCGUAAUCUAAAUACUUAACACUUGCUAGAAUUUUCCAAAAGGAACUGAAGAAGUAAAAGAAAGGAGCAACAAAACAUAUGCACACACUUAAGCAUACAAAUGAAGUGUUGAUAGAUCCCUUCCCUUCAAAUUCAUGGGAGUCACGGAGAUGAAGGAUUCUCUAUAUUUUGAGACAGAAAGUAAGUUUGAUCAGAGAACUAGGAGAACUAGUACAUAUCAGACAUUAGGUGGUUGGACAAUACCAGCUCCAGAAACAGAAGUGAACAGAAUUGGGACAGAGGUGGAACACAGGAGAGACGGAAUGGAGAGAGGUUGUCAACAUCAUUUAAUAUAUUUUUAAAAAUGGCUGUCCCACCUCCGGCCUGACAACAUACCAGGGUGACUGAACUAAAUAUUUAAGUACUUGAUACAAUUUAUUCUUUUUAAUUUUCUGUUUUUCUUUUUAAGGCUGCACCUUGCUAGACCACUCUCUUUCUCUUUCUUUUUUUCUCUUUAGGGCCACACCUGUGCAAUAUGGAAGUUCCCA